AAAACCUAGACCCUGCCAAACCACUAGUAACAGCGCAGCUGCUUAUCUACCUGUAUUGCCAACCUUAAUAAAAUUGAGACUACCUGUAUCAACAGUUACACUGCAUCGUCCCUUCAUAAAUAUGGGCAAAGAGCAGAAGCAAACAUACUUCCUCCAUGACAAAUUAGUGAGUAUAAAUUACAAACAAAUCCCUGUUAUUGUGGGCACUUUCAACUAACCCUGUCAUGUUAGGGAGUGUUUAACAGAGGUCACCAUCAUGGUCAUCUACACUUGAACUGAAACAUCUCCAUGUCUAUGUAAGGCAUCGCCGCGUAUCCUGGCAAAUAAGUAUACUCCAUAUGCAUAUCAUCCCAUAGUUGAACAGCUGCCAGUCUCCCUGUAUAAUCAACCCUUGUGAUGAGGAGGAAGA
rnacentral:rRNA from 1 species